AUACAGCGAAACUGCGAAUGGCUCAUUAUAUAAGUUCCUCUUUUAUUUGAUAGUGCCUUACUACUUGGAUAACCGUGGUAAUUCUAGAGCUAAUACAUGCUAAAAACCCCGACUUCGGAAGGGGUGUAUUUAUUAGAUACAAAACCAAUGCCCUUCGGGGCUCUUUGGUGAUUCAUGAUAACUAUACGAAUCGCACGGCCUUGCGCCGGCGAUGGUUCAUUCAAAUUUCUUCCCUAUCAACUUUCGAUGUUUGGGUAUUGGCCAAACAUGGUUGCAACGGGUAACGGAGGGUUAGGGCUCGACCCCGGAGAAGGAGCCUGAGAAACGGCUACUACAUCCAAGGAAGGCAGCAGGCGCGCAAAUUACCCAAUCCCGACUCGGGGAGGUAGUGACAAUAAAUACUGAUACAGGGCCCUUUCGGGCCUUGUGAUUGGAAUGAGUACAAUUUAAAUCCCUUAACGAGGAACAAUUGGAGGGCAAGUCUGGUGCCAGCAGCCGCGGUAAUUCCAGCUCCAAUAGCGUAUAU
rnacentral:rRNA from 1 species